UGUUGUACUCAUUUUCACUCGGUAAGGCUUCCCUUGUGCCAUCCAUACCAUCAUCCUUUUUCAUUGUAGAUGAGUUCUUCUUCGAUGGUUUUCUUUAUGAUAAAUUACUAAUUAUAUGGAUAAAAUUAAGAUUAAUACUGCAGCUAAAUGACUUCAAUUUCGUUCACACAUUUCACUAGGAGCUUCACUAGAAGAAUAAACUUGACAUGUUUGUUCCUG
rnacentral:lncRNA from 1 species